UUUUCUCCUGUGGCUGAAUCCAAAUGAAUCUUUACAGCAGAAUGAAAUAAAAUGUCAACUGACACUUCCACCACUCAGAGGAACCACAUAUGAACCUGCUUAUAGAAGUGUGUUUUCUCCCGGUGAGAAGAUAAGAGUUACAUGUGGGGAGGCAUACUGGAUUCUGAACACUCAGACCACCUUCGCUGAGACUACUUGCAAAAAUGACGGAGACUGGACUAUCAGACCAGUGUGUGAAGAGGUUACAUGUAGCCAUCCACAAGCUCUGUAUUUG